GAUGAACGCUGGCGGCGUGACUAAUACAUGCAAGUCGAGAGAAGCGGGGACGGGUGAGUAACAAGUGGAAAAACUACUAUAAGACUGGGAUAAAUUCGGGGACCAGGAGCUAAACCGGAUACUUAUAGAUGGAUCAGCGCUGCAUUAGCUAGGUGUUAAGGUAACGGCUUACCAAGGCAACGAUGCAUAGGCGAACUGAGCGGGUGAUCGGCCACACUGAAACUGAGACACGGUCCAGACUCCUACGGUAUGCAGCAGUAGGGGAUCUUCCGCAAUUGGCGAAACCCUUACGGAGCAACGCCGCGUGAGUGAUGAACGUCUUCUGAUCGUAAUAUUCUUUUAUUAGGGAAGCGGUACCUAAUCAGAAUGCCCCGUCUGACUACGUGCCAGCAGCCGCGGUAAUAC
rnacentral:rRNA from 1 species